UUGAGGAGAAUUAGUAAGAGAUUUUUCUGAUGUAUUUAAAUUAUUCUAUCAAUGUGUAACUAAGCUUUCAUUAGAGAAAGUUUUAUAAGGAGAAUAAUCGUUUUAGAGUAUAGAAAUGAAGUUGCUAUUUGGAGACAAAAUGAAAUUUAAAUCACGAUAUUUGUAUAUUAAGAUAUAAUUAUCUCUCCCGAUAAAACCUAAAAGCACAAAAAAAGUUUUGAAUGAAAUUUUAGAGCCCAUCUUUAUUUUACCUUCUGCCAUCAGUUAGGCUGUGUUCUUCAUUGCGGCUGAGAUGAACUUUUAGCUAGAAAAGUACUUUUCUUUGAAAAGCAAUGAAGAACAUCCUUCAUUUGAUAGCAAAUUCUCAGCUUCUGAGAAGUACUUUUGAGCAGAUGAAAAGUAGAUUUUUUUAGCUUUUCAGCCAAAAAGUACUUUUGAGCUGGUUACUUUUACCUUUUUAGCCACACGACGCCCAGUACCUGCUGCUACGCUGCUCUCUGCUCUCUGCUCUCUGCUGGUUCCCUCUGCUGCUACGCUGGUUCUUUGCCCUCAUCUUGUUUUGGAUUGAACACAAAGAAAGGGUUUGAUGCAAAAAUUGCUGCUGCCGUAGCAGAUGAGAUAAACUUGCCAUUUGUCACAGCAGAAAAUAAGUUUGAAGCUUUGCUGCACAUGAUGCCUUUGUUGAAACUAGCGGAGCCCUAAACACUGUUGCUACGUCCCUGAUGAAGGUUGCAAAUGACAUACACUUACUGGGAAGUGGUCCCCGAUGUGGCCUUGGUGAGCUCAUUCUUCCUGAAAACGAGCCAGGCAGCAGUAUAAUGCCUGGGAAGGUAAACCCUACCCAGUGUGAGGCUAUUACUAUGGUCUGUGCCCAGGUAAUGGGUAACCAUGUUGCUAUCACAGUGGGCGGAUCCAAUGGCCACUCUGAAUUGAAUGUGUUCAAGCCAAUGAUUGCUAAUGCACUCCUGCAUUCAUUAAGAUUGCUGGGUGACGCAUCUGCUUCAUUUGAGAAGAACUGCGUGAGGGGAAUUCAAGCCAAUAGGGAAAGAAUUUCUAAAUUACUACAUGAGUCUCUAAUGCAUGUCACAUCUUUGAACCCGAAAAUUGGUUACGACAAUGCUGCAGCAGUUGCCAAGAAAGCACACAAGGAGGGGUCCACUUUGAAGGAAGCAGCAUUGAGCCUUGGUGUGCUCACAAGCGAAGAAUUUGACACUCUUGUGGUCCCUGAGAAAACGAUUGGCCCAUCUGACUGAAUUUUUAUUUUUUUGCUAGAGGAGACUUAAGCAGCAAUUGCUUAGAUUUUAAUUAAUUUUAAGACCAUUUUUCUCAGUCGGAUUAUGGAAAACAAUAUUAUUGAGGUUUCCCAUUUGCUUGGAAUUGUUCAUGCAGUUUAUGUAGUGAAAAAAAAGAAUAGUCAUGGAUUGACUAAUGAGGGGAAAACCUAUUGAAGUAAAGUUGAAGGCAAAAUAAAAGAGAUGGCAUCAAGUUUUGUACUGCAAAAUGUGUAGAUUUGCUCUUUAACACCAAAAAGGAGAAGAAAGAAAAAAGCUUUCAUUUGGAGAGAUGCAAAAUGAUGACGUUCAGUGAUGAAGCUAGUAAGUUCGAUUUUUGGAAGAAUUUUUCUACUAUUGCCACCGUAGUCAUUAUAAUAUGAGGUUUAUGUUUUCUAUGUUAUGUUAAUAUCUAAUAUGAGUUAUAUAUUCAAAUA